CCGCCAGUGUUAGGUUCCCUCUUGGAGACUGAGGGUUUUUGGCAAGAGCCUCCUUCUUCAUUGAGAUGAGGUUCCUUGUGUCUUUAAUGUAGUUUGUUUUUCCCUUAUUACUGGCGUGGCUCGUCGCUUCCCUUUUUCUCUUUCCCCUUUUUUUUUUAUGUUCGAGUGAGGGUUUUCCUCUGCUCUUAAUGGGGUUGUAGGAGUGUAGAGGAGUCGUUGAGGAGGCUUUCCUCCUCAUCCUAUCUUGAACGAUCGGGUCUUCAUUUAUGUUAGGACGAGGUUCUCUUCCUGUUCCCGACGCAGUCGAUUUCAACUCAUGUUAGGAUGAGGUUCUCCUCCUGUUCCUAACAGGGUUGUGGGGG
rnacentral:lncRNA from 1 species